UCUGGUGGCCAUAGCACGAGCAAAACACCCGGCUCCAUUCCGAACCCGGCCGUUAAGUGCCGUCGCGCCGAUGGUACUGCGUCUCAAGACGUGGGAGAGUAGGUCGCCGCCAGAC
rnacentral:rRNA from 1 species